CUUCAGCGCGCCGAGCCAGAGCGGGCGGCCUUCCGGCCGGUCCUUGCCGUACGUCGCCAGCAGCGCCUGCGCUUC
rfam:Streptomyces violaceusniger Tu 4113, complete genome.